GCGGUGUUGCUGUGCUCUCCGGAAGGAGACGUGGCGGCGGUUGGGCCCUGGGCUGCCUGGGCGCUUGGUAGUCCCGCCGCCUCCUCCUCCUCCUCCUCCUCCUCCUCCUCCUCCUCCUCCCUCUCCUCUCCACUGUGGGCCGAGGGGGUUGUGGCGGCUGCUGGAGAACUCGGCGGCGGAGGAUGGAGGAAGGAGGCGGCGGCGCGCGGAGUCUGGUCCCAGGCGGGCCGCUGUUACUGGUACUCUGCGGUCUCCUAGAGGCGUCCGGCGGCGGCCGAGCGCUCCCCCAGCUCAGCGAUGACAUCCCUUUCCGAGUCAACUGGCCCGGCACCGAGUUCUCUCUGCCUACAACUGGAGUUUUGUAUAAAGAAGAUAAUUAUGUCAUCAUGACAACUACACAUAAAGAAAAAUAUAAAUGCAUUCUUCCCCUUGUGACAAGUGGGGAUGAGGAAGAAGAAAAGGAUUAUAAAGGCCCAAAUCCAAGAGAGCUAUUGGAGCCACUAUUUAAACAGAGCAGUUGUUCCUACAGAAUUGAGUCUUAUUGGACUUACGAAGUAUGUCACGGAAAACACAUUCGGCAGUACCAUGAAGAGAAAGAAAGUGGUCAGAAAGUAAAUAUUCACGAGUACUACCUUGGGAAUAUGUUGGCUAAGAACCUUCUAUCUGAAAAAGAACAAGAAGUGGAAGAAAAGGAAAAAUCAAAAGAGAUUCCCACUAAAAAUAUCGAAGGUCAGAUGACACCCUACUAUCCAGUGGGAAUGGGAAAUGGUACACCUUGUAGUUUGAAACAGAACCGGCCCAGAUCAAGUACUGUGAUGUACAUAUGUCAUCCUGAGUCUAAGCAUGAAAUUCUUUCAGUAGCUGAAGUUACAACUUGUGAAUAUGAAGUUGUCAUUUUGACACCACUCUUGUGCAGUCAUCCUAAAUAUAGAUUCAGAGCAUCUCCUGUGAAUGACAUAUUUUGCCAGUCACUACCAGGAUCACCAUUUAAACCCCUCACCCUGAGACAGUUGGAACAGCAGGAAGAAAUGCUGAGGGUGCCUUUUAGGAGAAAUAAAGAGGAAGAUAUGCAAUCAACUAAGGAAGAGAGAUUUCCAGCAAUCCACAAACCCAUUGCUGUUGGUUCUCAGCCAAUGCUCACAGUUGGAACAACCCACAUAUCCAAAUUGACAGAUGACCAACUCAUAAAAGAAUUCCUUAGUGGUUCCUACUGCUUUCACGGGGGUGUUGGUUGGUGGAAAUAUGAAUUCUGCUAUGGCAAACAUGUACAUCAAUACCAUGAGGACAAGGAUAGUGGGAAAACCUCUGUGGUUGUGGGGACAUGGAACCAAGAAGAACAUAUUGAAUGGGCUAAGAAGAAUACUGCUAGAGCCUAUCACCUUCAAGACGAUGGUACCCAGACAGUCAGGAUGGUGUCACAUUUUUAUGGGAAUGGAGAUAUUUGUGAUAUAACUGACAAACCAAGACAGGUGACUGUAAAACUAAAGUGUAAAGAAUCAGAUUCUCCUCAUGCUGUUACUGUAUAUAUGCUAGAGCCUCACUCCUGUCAGUAUAUCCUUGGGGUUGAAUCUCCAGUGAUCUGUAAAAUCUUAGAUACAGCAGACGAAAAUGGACUUCUUUCUCUCCCCAACUAAAGGGUAACAAAGUUCAGGGGAAAAAAAAGAUCAUUGGAAGUCAUGAUGAUUUGUCUGACCAUGUGUCCCAUUAUAGAGCUCUCAGUCAUUGGACUGCAUCUAAAGGAUUGUAUAAAAGGACUCUCAACCACUUUGUGAAUAUAGAGAACACACCGAGGGACUCAGCAAAAUGUCCUGUAAGAUGAGGGAAAUGACUGAUUUUGUCCUGCCAUGCAGCUUGCAGGAUCUUAGUUCCCCAACCAGGGAUCAAACCUGGGACCCUGCAGUGAAAGCGCCAAGUCCUAACUACUGGACCACCGGGGAAUUCCCAAGAAAAUUAAAUUUUCAGUCUCCAUGUACUGAAAACAUGCCAGUUCUGAGAGAAGAGGCCACAUGAGGACACGAUGAGAAGGCAGCCUUCCACAAGCCAGGAAAAGAGACCUCACAGGAAACCAAUCCUGAUGGCAUUUUGACCUUGAACUUCUAGCCUCCAUAAUUGUGAGAAAAUUAAUUUCUGUUAUUUAAGCCAGUUAGUCUGCGGUAUUUUGUUAUGGAAGCCCAAGCAGGCUAAUACAGUAGCAUAAUGUUGGGUAAUGAUAAGAAUCAUGAAGAAAAUAAAGUAUGGCAGAAGGAUAUAUAGUGAUGGGGUGGAGAGCUAUGUUGAAUAUGGAAACUAGGAAAGGCCCUGGGGGAAGAUCAUUCCAGGCUGAAGUAUUCCUGGGGGAAUUAAUUCCCUGACAUGAGAACAAAAUGGAGGCGUGUGAGAAAUAGCCAAAAAGGCUGUGUAGCCCAAGCACAUUAGGCAGAGUACACAUGAAAGGAAAUGAGGACAAAGAGGAAACCAGGGGCCAGAUUAUCAGGGCCAUGUAGGCCAUAGCAAGGACUUCAGAUUUUGUUCUAGUGGGAUGGAAAGCUGCUGGAAAGUUUUAAGCAAGAGAGUGACAAAUAUGAUUUACUUUAAAAGGGUCACAGACACACAGGAAGGAGACUGUGGGAGAGAAAGACUGGAAUGUGGGAGAAUGGUUAUGAGGCUAGUUUAACAGUCCAGGUGAGAGAUGGUGGGGGUCUGGGCUAGAAGGGAUGGGGUUGAAGGAGGUGAGAAAUAAUUGGAUUCAGAGUAUAUUUUCAAGAUAAUUGAGGAUUGCUCUAUCAAUUAGAUGUGGCAUGCAAGAGAAAGAAAAGAAUCAAGGGCCCUGACUGAGCUGUGCACUGGUCAUUGUGGUGCUGUUUACUGAGAUGAUAAAACAGCAGGAGGCACAAGUCUGUGGGGAGCGGGUUUGAAUCAAGAGUUCAGUUUUGUACAUGUCUAUUAGACAUCCAAGUGGAGAUGCUGAAUAGGCAAUUGGAUAGACCAGCAUGGAGUUCAGGGAGGGUUAGGAUUAGAGAGAGAAAAUGAGUGUCAUUAGCACUUAAGUGGUAUUGAAACACUGAAUAUCGUAAUCACUGCCAGCACCUGCUUCUCAAUUUACAGAUCCAUAUUUAGGGGUGGGGGAGGAAGUAGGGAGCUAUUUUCCUAUCUUUCUGGUCCUCCUUUCCCUUCUCCAUCCCCUCAAAAAUUACCCCAUCUGGCUUCAAGCCCUCACUUCAAGAAGACUUCACACUUGGGCCGGUGUUGCUGACUGGUACAUACUGAAGCACAUUCCCCAGUCACCUGCCGAGGCAGAGUCCUCCCACUGGUGGAGCUUGCCUGCUUUGGCUGUGGUUCUAAGCUCAGUCUAGGCCUGCCCUCUCUAAAACCUGGAUCCCUGGAGGAGGUGAGCCUUUCUCCCUGACCGCCUACCUGCCUCUCCUCACCAUUCCACAGACCUGGUGUCUUCACUGACUCUCGGCCUUCCUUCUUCAACUCCAGUAGGGAGGCAGUGAGAGCAAACCUCUUUUACGGGACCGUAGACCUCUUUCGGUAAUGAAGAAGAAAAACAACAACUGCUUUAAGUGAAUAAGGGAGAAAACGCCUACCUCUGGGAGUCAAAAGUGCCACUGUAGUUUCCAUGUAUCAUUGCCACUAAACUGAAUGAAGAGGAUGACCUUGAAAGGGGAGCCUCCAUAAUCUGGCCUGGCUAGGUUAUGGAGAAUUACCCAAGAAUGAGCCAUAACCCAAAGUCAGAUCUGGUGGGAACCUGAACCUGCCAGCACCCAGGAGUGCUACUGGUGGCCUAGCGUAGAGAUCUUCAAAUGGGGGUGCAAGUAUCUUGAGCAUGAAAAAGGGAUCCAGUUUAUAGAUGCUCAUUUUCAGGUCCCUACAACUGAGCUGUUUGAGAAGGCUACUGUGCCUUACUCUUUUAAGACCUCAUGCUGCCCUUUCAUUACUGCCCCUUCCCACUUUAGAAAAGGAUUCCCACCUGGAAUCUUAUGAGGCCAUUGCUUCUGGAUGCAAAGAGUUCCUAACCAAGGAACUAUUUAAAAUCUUAGUUUCAAAGAAAGAUCCUUAAAGUAUUUAUCAAGGGACCAUAAUUUUGUGUUUUCCCCUAGCUUAUACUAAACACCAUAUAUCACCAAUUCUAAGAUAAGCAUUUUUUCACGUUGUAACCUCUCUGAAAUUGGUGUAUCUUACCAUCAUGUAAGCCAAAUGGUUGUUGUUAUUACCUGCACUUGUGCAUUUUCACAAUCAAAACUUGUAGAAUGCAUAUUGGACGUAUAGUGGAGCACUUUUUUUAUCACCUAAGAAGCAGAGCUGUGGGGCGAAAGUGGACAGUGGGUGGUGAAUCAAAUGAGGUUAACAAUAUUCCUAAAGCAGAAGACAAAUUCUUUUGUCUAGAAUAGCUCUCUAGGUCAAGUAGAUGAGUCUCUAAAUUUAAACCUAUCACCCAGAGAUACAUUCCUUGUUGCCAAUUCAGUUUUGACUCCUU